UGUGCCUGGCUGGAUCAGGGUGGGGCUGUAGAGCUGCACAUCAUAGUCUGCAUCCGGGUCAGCCCUGAAUCUCAGGCACUGGAAGGUUACCCUGAUGGGCAGGACCCACUCCCAUCACUAAGAGAACAUCAAAAGGGCAGGUGUGGGGGUGGAUAGGAAGAUCAGGAUCUCUGAAAGGAAAUUUGCAUUGUGGUAACCUACAGACUCCACCUGGACCCAUGAUUCAUGACUCAACCAGUCCACCCAGAAGCUGACUCAGAGCAUAAGGAGCAUUUUCCACACCCCUAGGAUUUCAUCUCCAACCAAUCAGCAUUCCCCAUUCUCUAGCCCCUGUCCACCAAACUAUUCUUUAAAAACCUUAGCUCUAAGCUUUAUUUAUUUAUUUAAGUAAUACACUCCUGUCUUCCACUUAGCUGGUUCUGUAUUUAUUAAACUCUUUCUCUACUGCCA
rnacentral:misc_RNA from 1 species